CCUGCGAGGAGGUGGUGGACAGCCGGCGCUAGGUGGCGGGAGGACGCGGCGUCGGCAAGGUGGCGCCGGCGUCGGCCCGUCGCCGGACCGGGCGCCAGCUCGCGGCACGCCCUCGUCGUGACCGCCUGCCAACUCGCCUCCUCUGCGCGCCUCCGCCUCUGCCUCUUCUCACCGUCCCUCGUGCGCCCGCGGCCUGCCCUCGUCGCGGCCGCCCGUCAGCUCGCCUCCUCCUCCACGCAUCGUCUCCCCGUCCCCCCCAUCCCACACCACACACGCACACACCAAACCAUCUGGAGUCGUCCGGCUGCGGCGCGCACAAGGAGGCUAAGGCUCGCCUGCCCGACGUGCCCCUCACCACGCCGUUCACCAUCACAUCCUCGUGCCUCGAGACAAUCUCCAACAUCGCCGUACACGUCCAGAUCUGCAGCGGCGUCGUCGGCCAAGGGGAGGUUGACCUCCACCUUCCACCCGGCUCCUGUGAGGACUGAAGGCACGCACCGGCUUGCGAGUGGCCAGCCACGGCCAUGGCUGACCUUGGGAAUUCCAACGCAAUGUGAGCUAGCAUCUUCCCGUGAGUAGUGAAUGGCAGUUGUGAUUCUACAGAUACGUUGUCCUCCUGCACUCCUUAUGUUUCAAGUGCAUACACCUUGACAUCAGCUUGCAAAGUGUUCGACAGAAUGCUCAUCAGGAGGUCAACAUGAAGAUAGUAGUUGUUUCAUCUGCCCGUAGUGCUCUACCCACAUCAACAACAGGCCUACCUGCCUGACACAAGCAGCAGUGCCGGGGUGGCUAUCGUAGAUUCAUAACCAUAACGUCCAAAAGGUAAACAAAUUCAGACCUACCUAUUCAAAUUGUCGCAGCAUAUUAUAUUAUACAAAAGAUCUAUUUUUUAUUCAAUGCAGAGUAUGGAAAUCUUAAAUUUUAAGUUCUAACAGAGCUACUAAAUGCUAAUUGUUUCUGAUAAUGACUGCAAGUCCCAAUAACUACUACAGCAAUAAAGGGAUGGCAAUCGAGCUGACAAUUUAUUUUUAAUGUUCUUAUUUUGAAUUUUGAUUUUCUUUUUCUUUUGCUUUCGUUCCUCUAUUGUUUCUUCUUUUAUUUACUUCUCAAAAAAGUUCUCCAUUCAAUUGUAUUGUGUACUGUGGUGCUUACAACUGGGUAUUAUGGUUAUACCUACUGCUCUUAACUUUCUCGUCA